GACGAACGCUGGCGGCGUGCUUAACACAUGCAUGUCGAACGGAAAGGCCCUGCUUUUGUGGGGUGCUCGAGUGGCGAACGGGUGAGUAACACGUGAGUAACCUGCCCUUGACUUUGGGAUAACUUCAGGAAACUGGGGCUAAUACCGGAUAGGAGCUCCUGCUGCAUGGUGGGGGUUGGAAAGUUUCGGCGGUUGGGGAUGGACUCGCGGCUUAUCAGCUUGUUGGUGGGGUAGUGGCUUACCAAGGCUUUGACGGGUAGCCGGCCUGAGAGGGUGACCGGCCACAUUGGGACUGAGAUACGGCCCAGACUCCUACGGGAGGCAGCAGUGGGGAAUAUUGCACAAUGGGCGGAAGCCUGAUGCAGCAACGCCGCGUGCGGGAUGACGGCCUUCGGGUUGCAAACCGCUUUCGCCUGUGACGAAGCGUGAGUGACGGUAAUGGGUUAAGAAGCACCGGCUAACUACGUG
rnacentral:rRNA from 1 species